UGGUGGUGGUAGCGAUGGCGGGGUGUCGGCGUAGGGGUUGAGAGAGAGGAGUAUGGUGGGAGCGGUGGUGAUGGCAAUAGGUAGAGGGUAAGGAUACGACACGGUAGAGCGACAUAAUCAUGGCGGGGAGGUUGAGCAAAGAGAGGGUAGGUCUGGGUUAAAAGAGAAGGAAAGAGCGAGCGAUGGAAAGAGAGGAGGACAAGGAGGGGCGCGAGCGUUUGAUCCCUGGUGCGUAGGAGAAGUUUCCUAUGGCGUCCGGAACGGUCCUUUGACGAGCAGCGAGGUGGCGCCAAUGUAUCGAAGGCUUGAAAGCAUCGAUGCGUGUGGAACCAGGGCUUUUCCACCCAGGAGAAAAGUUUAGUCUGUGAUGCGACGCGGUUGCGGUUACAAGUUACAGAGGAACACGCGCGUUUUUCGCGCGAAAGCGAAAGCGAAAGCCGAACGCGGUGCGUUUCGGCGUUUCCCCCAACGUUCGAUCGGUGCGUUGGUAUUCGUCGCGUGGUGUCCACGUUCGUAGUCUACCGGCGAUUUACGGUUUAUGACUUACGGUUUAGGUUUUACGGCUCACGGCUCACGGCUCACGGCUCACGGCUUACGGCUUAUGGCUUACGGCUUCCAGCUUACGACUUACGGCUUUACGAAUUGAUCCAGCUUUCCUUUAUUCGUCUCGACCGCGGAGGAACUCGAUUCGAUUCGAUUCGUUUCGUUUUUCCAAUAUUCUUAUAUUGUAUCGUCUCGCGCGUUUCUUUUCUUUCUUCUUUUUUUUUUCUUUUUAAUGACCGUUCGUCCGAUCAUAGCUGGGAAUGUGAAAGAACUAGCCAACGUUCGAAGGACGGGAAAGAACAGGGAAGAAAGUCUGCGUUAGAAGACGAAAUUUAUACACGAGAUAUCGGGGAUCGGAUCGGAUCGAAUCGAGUCGGAUUUUGUGGUUCGAGAGGAGAAAGAAUUCGCUUGGAGAAGCAAAAAGAAAGAAGAAAGAGAUUGCAAAUCACAGAGGCAGGUAGAGAUUGCACACACACACACACACACACACACACACACGUGUAAAUAGGAAGGAUACGAGGUUCGUUUCUUUCGUUUCCUUUCGUUGGAAAUAGAUAAUAAACUCGAUAAACCGGGAAUGUGAACUAGCGUUCUCGCGCUUAAUCGUGGUUAAAGACUCUCUCUCGGAACGAUAAAAAUCAUGUGGGCUGCAGUCACGAGGUCUUUGGAAAUACUGGUUGCCUUCUUCGAAUAUUACACCACCAGAGCGCAAUUGGAG